UGGGGAAUAUUGGACAAUGGGGGAAACCCUGAUCCAGCGACGCCGCGUGAGUGAAGAAGUAUUUCGGUAUGUAAAGCUCUAUCAGCAGGGAAGAAAAACCACCGAAAGGUGCUUGACGGUACCUGACUAAGAAGCCCCGGCUAACUACGUGCCAGCAGCCGCGGUAAUACGUAGGGGGCAAGCGUUAUCCGGAGUUACUGGGUGUAAAGGGAGCGUAGACGGUAAGGCAAGUCAGAUGUGAAAGCCCGGGGCUCAACCGCGGGACUGCAUUUGAAACUGUCCUACUGGAGUGCAGGAGAGGUAAGUGGAAUUCCUAGUGUAGCGGUGAAAUGCGUAGAUAUUAGGAGGAACACCAGUGGCGAAGGCGGCUUACUGGACUGUAACUGACGUUGAGGCUCGAAAGCGUGGGGAGCAAACAGG
rnacentral:rRNA from 1 species